rnacentral:rRNA from 1 species
GAUGAACGCUGGCGGCGUGCCUAAUACAUGCAAGUCGAGCGAACGGACGAGAAGCUUGCUUCUCUGAUGUUAGCGGCGGACGGGUGAGUAACACGUGGAUAACCUACCUAUAAGACUGGGAUAACUUCGGGAAACCGGAGCUAAUACCGGAUGAUAUUUUGAACCGCAUGGUUCAAAAGUGAAAGACGGUCUUGCUGUCACUUAUAGAUGGAUCCGCGCUGCAUUAGCUAGUUGGUAAGGUAACGGCUUACCAAGGCAACGAUGCAUAGCCGACCUGAGAGGGUGAUCGGCCACACUGGAACUGAGACACGGUCCAGACUCCUACGGGAGGCAGCAGUAGGGAAUCUUCCGCAAUGGGCGAAAGCCUGACGGAGCAACGCCGCGUGAGUGAUGAAGGUCUUCGGAUCGUAAAACUCUGUUAUUAGGGAAGAACAUAUGUGUAAGUAACUGUGAACAUCUUGACGGUACCUAAUCAGAAAGCCACGGCUAACUACGUG